rnacentral:rRNA from 1 species
AACGAACGCUGGCGGCAUGCCUAACACAUGCAAGUCGAACGAGACCUUCGGGUCUAGUGGCGCACGGGUGCGUAACGCGUGGGAACCUGCCCUUAGGUUCGGAAUAACUCCCCGAAAGGGGUGCUAAUACCGGAUAAUGUCUUCGGACCAAAGAUUUAUUGCCUUUGGAUGGGCCCGCGUUGGAUUAGCUAGUUGGUAGGGUAAAAGCCUACCAAGGCGACGAUCCAUAACUGGUCUGAGAGGAUGAUCAGCCACACUGGGACUGAGACACGGCCCAGACUCCUACGGGAGGCAGCAGUGGGGAAUAUUGGACAAUGGGCGAAAGCCUGAUCCAGCAAUGCCGCGUGAGUGAUGAAGGCCUUAGGGUUGUAAAGCUCUUUUACCCGGGAUGAUAAUGACAGUACCGGGAGAAUAAGCUCCGGCUAACUCCGUG